UACGAAGGGUGCAAACGUUGCUCGGAAUUAUUGGGCGUAAAGCGCACGUAGGCGGCUUAGCAAGUCGGAAGUGAAAUCCCUCGGCUCAACCAAGGAAGUGCUUUCGAAACUGCUGAGCUUGAGUACGAAAGAGGAUCGCGGAAUUCCCGGUGUAGAGGUGAAAUUCGUAGAUAUCGGGAGGAACACCAGUGGCGAAGGCGGCGAUCUGGGUCGAUACUGACGCUGAGGUGCGAAAGCGUGGGAGCAAACAGG
rnacentral:rRNA from 1 species